GAUGAUGGUGUCAUUCAUAAGUCAUGUUUCAAGCAAACACAAUUAACACAUAUUGAAGUGGGAUGAUAUGAUUGAAAAGUGAAUCAAAUAAAUGAUUCAUAAUUUCAUAAUUACGAUCAUUACAAGACAAAUGUUUUAAUUAACAACUGUUAAUAAUUUUACAAAUAAGUUUAUCUAUUAUUUUUAAAUAAUAAGGAGAGUCAUGUCACUAAUAAGAUAUAUCUCGUUGUUGUAAUGGAUAAUGUUGAGUUCCCACAUUGGCCAUAUAUAUAAGAUUAAAGUUAUAUAGCUUAUAAAGUUUUUAGCAAUUCUCACGUUACAAGUCAGCUUCACCUCCUUCUAGAACUUGGUCAAGAAGUCGCGUGCAACGCCCACAAGCGCUUCUAUUCCUUCUUCUGGCUUGGAUGUUGUGAAACGUGCAACGACUUUUCCAGCUUCUUAAGCCUCCUCCUAUCCAUCUAUAAUCCUCUGAAAUAGGAGAGAAUCCAUGUAUUUAUAUUUUAUAGGGUUGGUAUUUGUGUUCAAUCAUAGGCGGAUUUACCACUCGGCCUGCCUGGGCACGUGCCCAGGCUCCAAGGCCAAAAAACUAAUUUUUAUUUGGGCCGUAGGGCCCUUUUGGGUGAAAAAAAUAAAAGAUUUGGGCAACAAAAAAUUGGGCAGGACUAUAAGUGAUUCGUUAAGAGUCCAAGAAUGAGAGAGAAAGCUAAAAUGCUUCUUCACGUGGUGUCUCCCCCUUGGUUCCAUCGACUGUCUUUUGUCCCUUCUUUGUUUGUUUCUAGUCUAGGUGGCAGGCUAUUAUGUGCUUAGCAUUGUAUUUCUUGGCCGUUUAUUGCCCAUCUUGAUGUAUCCUUUGGGCUGAACCCAUUUCAAUGAAACAUCUCCAAACUUUGACAAAAAAAAAAUAAGACUUGUCGUGUAGAAUUACUUUUAGUUUUUUUAUUGAAGAAUACAAUAUUUAAGAUCAUACCAUAAUUUAUGCAAUGUUUUGGUGAAAUAUAACUUGCUCUUCAUUUGUAUGAGAAUAUUGAGGUGAACAUCAAAUUAGCUUUCAUAUUUGUAGUGAAAGUAUUUCUUCCAAGAAUGUUGGAUUAUGGAAUUGCCACUUAUGAAGAGAAAGACAAAUAAGAAGUUUUUGUGAAAUAAUUUAUGCUAGUGCAAAUGCAGCGAUGUUAUCUUUCUAGAGUUUUAUUUUUAGAAUUAUCCCUUUUCAAGACAAGAGAAUUGAAGAUCUUGAAAAGCAGCACAAAAAAUUGGUUUUGAUUUAUUAGUUAUUUUUUCGUUCCAUAUCGUUGAAUGUUAACUUUAGACUAUUAAAUUUAAGAGAUGAGAAUGUUUUUGGUUGAUAGAGCAAGUAUAGAGAAUAUGAAUGUUGUGCAACCGGAACCCAAAGUAGAGCAUCUGCCUAAUGUUGUCAAUGAGUUUAAUCCAAAUAAGAUUGUGCGUGAUCCAGGUCGUAUGAAAAAAAUUAAUGAGCAUACUCCGAAUAUUCAAGAAGAAGUGAAAAUGACAUUCUAUUGGUGUGUUCCAUUUUUUCUUAUCUUGUAUUAUCUUCUUGGACGUGUCACGUGUAAAUGGAAUGAAACCCAGGUUAGCUACACUUUUGUUGGCAAAGUGGUGAGUCUUUUUUUAUUUCAAUUUAUAACUAUUUAUAUAUUGUGACACGUGUGGAUUUGCGGUUCUAAAAUUUGCCCAGGCUUCACAAAAUUCCUGGUUCCGUCACUGUAUUCAAUGUCUUUGCAAGUGUAAGGAAAAUCCUUAGGUGGAGCUUUCAGACGCACAGUUGGCUGCGUGUUGUGCAAGCCGCCCUUAUAGUGUCUGUUUAAGAGCAAACCCUUGUGGGUCGGCUGCGACAUCAUCGGGCCUAGUAGCUUAUAUAAGAGCUGACAACUAUUAUUACAAUUAAAAAAUAAUAAUUAUCAUAUUGGUGCAGGUUUCCAGUUCCCAAAGGUCUCCCCCUCUUCGGGUUUGGAUUCAGUUUUUGCCUGAACCCGGUUAAAAUGAAACUUUCUCGUUAAAGUCGAGGUUUUUUUUAUAUACAAAUGUCAGUUGUUAGUAAUAUUAGUAAAUUAGUCUUCCUCAUGGUUCGAACCCUAGACCCUUCACCUUUUACCAUCUUAAAUCCUUAUGUCCUCUAGCUUUUACCACUUAAGCUAACUUUCGGGGCUCGUUAAAGUCGAGGUUGAGAUGUGGAGAUAUGCAAGAGUUUUGAUUUAUUGUCAUGCCUACAUUCUUUGUAGGUAGAAGUAAAAAUUAUUGUUUCUUUUUGUCCAAAAAAAAAAGAACGGUUGAUGAGACAUUUAUAGCCUUUUUUUUUUUGUCGAAUGUCAGAUUUUUUUUUCUUUCCAAUAGAACAAUAUAGGCUUGGCAUCUGGGCCACAGCCUACAAGUUCUAAAUGUAUUAACAAAGGAAAGGAAACAGAAACUUCUGGGCACUGUCGAAAGUUGACGGGCCAUAGGCACAAAUAUAAAGGUAAAAACGUGUUGGGCCUCUUUAUGAAUUUUUUUUCUUGUUUGACAAAAAAUAGGUAUUUUUCUUGUAUAAAUGUUUUUAAAAAAAUCAGGAUAAACUACAAUUGGCCGGACAAAAUUUAUCUCUUAAUGUUCUCAUUUAAAAUUAAUUCAGCACACAAACUUUUAAAUAUUUUUGAAGGUAAAACUUUUAAAUCUUAAAAUUUAAUCUUUUGAGAUUCAGAAUGGAACACUACAUAGCCUUUGAAAACUUACAAACAAAAUAUAAAUCCUUUUAUAUUAAACAUAUUAAUUAAUUUAAAAAAAACAUAUUAAUUACUUAAUUUGUGUGUGUUGUUUUUAGUGUACAUGAAACUACGGAGACUGAGACCAUAGGUAUGAAGAAUAAUUUGUUGAGAGAGAUUCGUCUACCCACUUAAUGUGAUCUCAAAGUCUCGAGAAAAUUAGUUUCAUGACUGUCAGUUGUCAGGAGAUACCAACAAAUAAAUAAUAUAAUGUGAAAUGUUAACAUGAAAAUAUUUAUUCCGUUUAGAUACACUCUGGUUUGCAUCUGAUAAUUGUUCACGACCUGUAUAAAAUAGAUGAAUUUUACAAGUUGCAUUGAUACCGGUUUGGUGAAUUGGAUAAACCAUCCUAGUGAGACUUAAGUAAUAUGUGAAUAAACAUUGAUACCGGUUUGAUGACAUGUGUGUAAAUAGAUUUCACUACUCCAAAAUUAGGGAUUGCAGCUUACUAAAAUAGCACAAAUUUAUUUCAGGUAUGCUUUAUGUUUUUUCUGGUAAAAGGCUUUCUUCUUGUUAUUAUAUCUAAAUUCAAGUACCGUAUUAAUGGUCUUGUUCAAUCAAAUUUGCGUAAAUAGAAUUAUCUAAUAAAUGACAUGAGCUUGUCAAUGUAUAUGAAAAGAGUUAUAUAAAUAAAUCUACACAAAUCACAAACAAACAUUCUCAAGGCAGAAAACUGUGACUUUAAUUUUGUGGAUGGAAAAUUCCAAGGGUCUUAUUCUUAUCGAUGAUGCUACAUGAACAUACAAACAAAUUAAGAUGUGUGUUAACAUCAUUUUCCAAUGUGUAUUUUUCCUCAGCAUCCCUGUCAAUUUUUUGGGUACUAAUGUAAAGAAUCGCAACUGAGAUAACUCAAUAGUUGUGAGUCUCUCAUAGACCCAUCAAUUGCGGCAAAAUUGUCUAUUUCCUUGAUGGUAAUUUCAAUUGUCCUUUUCUACUUCCUUUUACACUUCAUCUAAGCUGUAGCUGUAUGACAGUAUCUGCCAUUUUCAGUUCACGUGUGUGCACUGCUCAUCAAUUAUUGGAUUAACAUAAAAUAAAAUGGAAAGUGGAAAAAAAGUAGGUUGCUAAGAAAAAACCACAGCUACUUAUUUAACUAUUUUUUACAGUUACUUAAACCCUACCUGUCAGCAUUGCCUUCAUAUUUUGUGCCUCCAUGAAUAAUGCCUAUGAUUAGGUGUGUGCACAUAUGAUUAGGUGGCAAUGUCCACCCUCAUGCCCAUAAUCAAUUAAUGACUUACCUAGAGAUUUAAAGGAGGUUAAUCACCCUCUCUUAUUUUGCUUUUAGUAUGUGUUUUGGUCAAAGUUGUAAGAAUUGAUUUUUAAUAAAAUUGCAUACGCUAAAAGUGAUUUUUUUUGGUACAUCGAAAAAUUGCUAAAAGUGACUUAGAGUGUUGUUGUUUCUUUUUUUUCUUAAGAAAUCAUUUUUUAUUUUAAAAAUCAUUUUUUCAACUUUCUAGAUGUUUGUUUAAGCUUUAAAAAUCAUAUUUGAAAAGCUUUUGAAAUUAGAUUAUUUGAAAAAACUAUCUUAUAAAAAAUUUAUUGCGAUAAAUGAGAAAGAAAAUUAAAAGAAAUAAAUUAAUUAGUGUAGUCAAAUACAAAUCAGUUUAUAUUUUUCUUUAAAAUUUUUUGAAAAAUAAUUAAAUUUUUAGACAACCAAAUUUUUAAUAUCAAACAAACGCAUGAAGUGAAUUGGAAGUGAGGUUAUUUAUGUUUCAAUACGUUUUAUGGGAAAAGUGGUUUCCGUAGGGUAAUUUUGUAAAAUUUAGCUGUCAAAUCUUACAAUUGAUUAUGUUCAUCAUAGUAACUACUCUCUCUUAAGACGAAAAUUAAUUCUCUAGUCGAUUUUCAAACAUCAAAAUAAUCACCUAAAAGUGAUUCUAAUAAUUGAUACUAAGACUCUAAACCUGGAACCAAACGCUUAUUUGAGAUGAAAUAAUUAAGCGGUGUUCCUUUAUGGAACACACACGGAAGGAGGUAUUCAUAACCUGUGCUUGAAUUUAAUAUGACAUAUCUAGUGUCUUCUCUAGCUAAUCAAAUGGCAUUAUUAAGAGCAAAAGAAAAAGCUGGAUUAUAUUCUUAUGAAAGAUUUGAAUUAGUGGGGUAUCUGUAAAAGUGUCUUGGUAAAUUAAUUCCACAUAAUUUGAAGAGAAAAAAAGGAAGUAAAUUCCCAUAAUUUGAUAAAUUUGGAGAGGUGUGUUCUUUUUCUUGCUUGAAACAGAGACUUGUCUAUUCUUUUUAAUAUGAAGAUGGGGUCAUUAUCAUGAGAGUCACUUUAUGAAAUGACAAUAAAUAAGCUUGACCUAAUCACAGGCUGUCCUAGAACCCUAAUUAAAUGAUAGUUAUGUCCCGGUUGAGGCAGGGAACAAGUCAACCAACUUCUAACAUUAAUAUUUUCAUUGCAUGUUGGAUGUGAAAAGCAUUUACAAGAGCCAUGUGAAUUUAUAUAUUGGAGGGGCCCUUUUUUUCAUUUAGGUCACUAUCUCUUCGGUGGGAGAGGGAAAAAUGGGAAAUACCCUGCUUUUGUUGCAAAUUUUCCUUGCAUCAAAGGGUAACAAGGACAAGGGGAAGUUGUGUGCUUUUAAGUUUUUCCACCUUUUUUUUCAUCCCCUAACUAUGAGGGUAGGGGAGUAUUAAUCAAAAGGACAAACCCGCCAAGGUAUAUAGAACCUCCAUCUCACUUGCCAUGGUUUCCAUAGUUGAGAAAGUGACCAAAGAUCCAAAGUUUUCCCUCUACAUCUAGAAAUUUUGAGAAUGGAAAUUCAUUCUAAUUUCCAUAGUGCAUGAAAAAAUGGGAAUGCCUUCUUUGACGUGCUAGAGUGUCCGACGGUCAUUAAUUGAAAAAUCAACAGUUGAAUUUGUAACACAUGUAUAUGAACAACUAAUUGUUAAUCAUCAAUUAUAAUUGCGCAUUUAAUUUCUCUAAAGUUGAUCUUUAAAUGAGAAAAAAAAAGUCAUUAUAAAAGUUUAAAUUGAUUUGAUGAGUCCAGCUAAACCUAGUCCAAAAUGUGGUCACUAAUGUACGAAAACAAUUGUAUCAAGCCCCUCAUUUACUCAUCAGCAAACAAGUUAAAGCUAAGUACACUUAUUCAUUUAAAGGCAAGUGCAACAUUUACCUCACUAGUGAAAACAAGUUUAUUUGAUGUCACUCCCCCUUUUUCUCUAAUUUGAAGGAAAAGUUACUAUUUUGCAUUCAACUCUUGCAGGAAAAAGAAACAGCAAUAAAGGAAAAAAGAUGAACUAUGUGCCAUGGGAAGAGGUGAAACUUUCUUUCCUGAGAGCGAGAGGUUGCCAUGAAAACCGGGAGCCCUUGUGCCAAUCCCAAUAACAUUCCUCCACAAAGGGAGCUGAGCAUAUACCAACCCCAGUCCACAUGAUAAGAAGCAUAUACUAACCCAAAGGUACGUCCAAAGAAAGAGUACCCUUAAUUUACUUAGCCUUUAGGAUUUAGUGUUAAAUGAGAAAUGGUGGGGCUUGUCAGUGUUUGGUCUCACUUAUAGAAAUCACUUCUAGCUCGGAAAUCACAUUAACUUGUAAGUUAUGAUGUGUUGCUUUUUGGAAUAAUAUGAUUUGGAUUGCGCGUCACAUAUAAAUCCAAAGUUACUAAAAGUGUGUUUGGUUUCGUAGUGAGAAACCCAUGGAAUCAAUUCUAGUUGAACAAAAUCAAUAUUGGAGAUGAAAAUAUUGGGAGACUGAUUUCAUAUCCAAAACCAAUUCUGGUAGAAACUAGAGAGAGUAGUUUCUCCAUUGAAGAUAAUUAGUUGUGAGAUUUUACAGUUAAAUUUCACAAUAUUACCCAACCAAACUCAUUUUUCCAUAAAUGUAUUUAAACAUAAAUCUCUUCACUUUCAAUUCACUUCUACUAUAAUCAAUUUUACCAAAAUCAAUUGUGAAAAACCAAAUACACUCGGUGUCUUUGAAAACCUAAAAAAUAUUCUUAUAAGGAAAAAAAAAGUGAGUCUUUUUAAAAGCAUGUCAAUUACAUUUUUAGAGUUGUAUAUAUCGACUCUUAGGAUACAUGCUUAUUACAUUUUUAGAGUUGUAUAUUAACUCUUUGGAUACAGGCUUAUUAGAACUUAUCUUCUAUAGGAAAAAUACUAGAUAAACUCUAAUAAGUGUUUUAGUUGCAUCCAAACGGGUUCAUAAGCUACUAAUUGGAGCUUCUUUCAAUUUUCCCCGAUUCCAAACAAUAAACGCCAAACAAACACAGGAAGUAACUUAUGUGAAGGUCAGAAACCCUUAUAAUUAAAUUGGUUUUAGAGUCAAUUAUAAAAGAAUUUUCAAACAUGUUAUUAUUUGGUUCAAUUUCACUUCCAUCUUGCCUACUUUUACUUUUAUUUGAGGCUAGUUUCACCAUAGGGGGAGGGGAGGCAAGUGCCGAAAGGGUAACAAAGAAACAUGCAUAGCCAACAGAAAGUAAAAGAUAAAAGCUAUUUGAAAGGAUACAAAGAUGUGAGCAAAAUGUGUUUAGUCGAGUGAUGAUCACAAAAAUCAAAGCCCUUGACCUCAUAAAUUACAUUUUACAACUUAAGGCAAACCAGACACACUUCAAGUUGAAGUCUUGCAUAAUAAGAGUUGAAUUCAGUGGCCAUGGUUAAUUGGAAAUCAUAACCAUGCAUGUGUGAUAAAAAAGUAAACCAAAGGAAGCAUAAUGCUACGUAGACUACUAACCUCAAAUCCCCAAUGAGUAUUUCGUAAUUUAAAAGCUUAACAGUGAUUAUUUUGACAAAUCCAAUGGGAAAAAGUGUGCAUGAAGUUAACAAAUUUGAAUUCAAAUCAAGUUAAGAGGGAGGGGUGCACAUGGAGUGUAAUCUUAAAACGUUAUUAUCAAUCAAUUAAAAACAAAAAGUCAUCAUUAGAAAACAAAAGGCUUCAUUAAACUAAGUAAAUAAAAUCAAGCAGGCAAUCCUAAUGGUUAUCGAGAUGGCCACUAAGGUCCCACCAUCAUGAACCUGAAGACACUACACGCCGGUGUUGGUCUCCAUCCAAGACUGACCAUUUCAAACUACAACUAUAAUUAAGGACCAUUCCUUAAUUGCAGGCCUAAAUUCCAAUUCCAAUUUUAAGCAUCAAGGAAUCAGAAUCAGAAUAUCAUACAAACUUGUAUGAUUGUCAAGAAAAAUUCUGCAUAGAAAAAGCUAGAACAAAAUUUGGCUAUAGCUGAAUGAGAGCAAUAGAGCAGAAAAAUUCUGCAAACUUGUAUGACAUAUCCAUUCUACAGAAAGAUUAGAUCAUUUAAUCAAGGUCACAGGUUAGAGUAUGUGAAUCUCAUACACUAAACCUAACAACUCAAGCUGAAUGAGAACAUUAGUGCAGAGAAACAUUAAGGGGGCAAGUAAAGCACACACAGCACACACAAGAUUCUUCUCAUAGCAGAGAAAAAAUUGAGACACUGAUAAGAGAAAGGAAUAACCUCAAUUCAGAAAAUCAAUACAUUGUAAGAUGUUCAUAAAUUAUACCAUAAAUUGCAAAGCAAAAUAAAUAAAGAAAAAUUAAAAAAAGAAAAAAAAAAGUAUGAUAUAAGAGACAAUAACAAUAAACUCCACAAUCAAGCAGCAGCAGCAGGAGGUGCCACUGUCUGUCUUUGCAGCUAGCCCUGAAUUAUGGUCUCUGGUUCAUCCCUAUACAUACAUUUUCUCUGCAACCUACUCUUUCUCUGCCAAUUUUAUUUCACAACUCUUGAAUAUCCAUAACAAUUCAAAUCAAUAUGCAGAGAGACUUUCUCCUCUUACCUCAAUCCACUGUGUAACCUCUUCAUCUUCAUCACUGUAAUUGUGCUAUUGACGACGCGAAACAAGAACAAAUAUUGAUGUGCCUUACAUAAACCCUUCUCAUUCUCUUGGUUUAUUUCUGCCCCCAAAUGCGACGAGAGUCGCAUCAUUAAGAAAAAUGUGAACUAUUGAAUGUUUUGUGGGUGGUGGGAAUGGGGUUAGAGGAGUAAAGUUCUCAAAAGAAUCAAUAGAAGGGUGGUGGGGGAGGAGAAGCGUACGAGAUGCUGACCACAGGUGGUAAAGGCCCUUCAUAUACAGGGGCAGGUGGUGGUUGAUAAUGAACUGGGGGUGGUGGUGAAGCAUAAACAUAGGCUGGUGGUGGUGGAGGAGAAACAUAGGCUGGUGGUGUAUAAUGAACUGGGGAAGGUGGUGGCAGGUAAGGUGCAGGGUGUGGUGAGGGUGGUGGAGGUGAGUGUUCUUCACAUGGUGGUGGAGAUGAUGGUGGUGGUGGUGGUGGGGGUUCUAUACAAGGUGGGGGAGAUGGUGGGGGUGGUGAAUGGACUGGUGGUGGGGGAGAGUGGACAGGAGGAGGGGGGGGNNNNNNNNNNNNNNNNNNNNNUGAAUGAUGAGGUGGUGGCGGUGAUGGUGAUGGUGGUGGCGGUGAGUUGUAGUAGUAAGGCACAGGUGGAGGUGGGGAGAAUACAGGAGCUGGUGGAGGUGGUGGUGGUGGUGAAUUUGGUGGUGGUGGUGGUGGAGAGUGGACACAGUAUGGUGGUGGAAUUGGAGAGGGUGGUGGUGGUGGAGGGGGGGACAUCACAGGGGGGGGGGGGGGGGGGGGCGGGGGGGAAGGGGGGGGGGGGGGGNNNNNNNNNNNNNNNNNNNNNNNNNNNNNNNNNNNNNNNNNNNNNNNNNNNNNNNNNNNNNNNNNNNCACUGGUGGAGGAGGCGGUGGUGGGGAGUAAACCGGUGGUGGAGGUGAUGGAGGUGGAGGAGAAGGCGGUGGUGGGGAAGGUGGUGGCGGAGGUGGGGAGGACACCGGUGGGGGAGGUGGUGGCGGUGGAGGAG
rnacentral:lncRNA from 1 species